rnacentral:rRNA from 1 species
CAGAAACUACAAAGGAAUUGACGGGACCCCGCACAAGCGGUGGAUCAUGUUGUUUAAUUCGAUGAUACGCGAAGAACCUUACCAGGUCUUGACAUCCCCCGCGAUGCUUUAGAGAUAAAGCGGAGGUAUUCGGGGAGACAGGUGGUGCAUGGUUGUCGUCAGCUCGUGUCGUGAGAUGUUGGGUUAAGUCCCGCAACGAGCGCAACCCCUAUUGCUAGUUACCAUCAUUAAGUUGGGGACUCUAGCGAGACUGCCAGUGAUAAACUGGAGGAAGGUGGGGAUGACGUCAAAUCAUCAUGCCCCUUAUGACCUGGGCUACAAACGUGAUACAAUGGCUGGAACAAAGGGAUGCGAAGCAGUGAUGUGGAGCGAAACCCAUAAAAACAGUCUCAGUUCGGAUUGAAGUCUGCAACUCGACUUCAUGAAGUCGGAAUCGCUAGUAAUCGCGGAUCAGAACGCCGCGGUGAAUACGUUCUCGGGGUUU